rnacentral:rRNA from 1 species
GAUGAACGCUGGCGGCGUGCCUAAUACAUGCAAGUCGAGCGAGAAUUUUUCAAAUGACACUUCGGUUGAUUUUGGAAAAGGACAGCGGCGGACGGGUGAGUAACGCGCAGGCAACCUGCCCCUGACAGAGGGAUAGCACCUGGACACGAUGAUUCACACCUCAUACCGCCGAAGGAACACCUGCUUCAUCGGCCAAAGAUUUAUCGGUCAGGGAUGGGCCUGCGUCUGAUUAACUAGUUGGUGAGGUAACGGGUCACAAAGGUGACGAUCAGUAGCCGACCUGAGAGGGUGAUCGGCCACAUUGGAACUGAGACACGGUCCAAACUUCUACGGAGGCAGCAGUAGGGAAUCUUGCACAAUGGGCGAAAGCCUGAUGCAGCAACGCCGCGUGAAGGAUGCAGGCCUUCGGGUUGUAAACUUCUGUUCUUAGGGAAGAAGAAAGUGACGGUACCUAAGGAGAAAGCCCCGGCUAACUACGUGCCAGCCGCCGCCGUAA